UACGAACUGUGCGAACGUUAUUCGGAAUCACUGGGCGUAAAGGGUGCGCAGGCGGCCGUGUGUGUGAGGCGUGAAAGCCCGGGGCUUAACCCCGGAAUUGCACCUCAAACUACACGGCUAGAGCAUUGGAGAGGGUAGCAGAAUUCACGGUGUAGCAGUGAAAUGCGUAGAUAUCGUGAGGAAUACCAGAGGCGAAGGCGGCUACCUGGACAAUUGCUGACGCUCAGGCACGAAAGCGUGGGGAGCAAAAGGG
rnacentral:rRNA from 1 species